CAGGGAGGCUCCGUGGGCUCUGGCGGGGUCUCAGGCGCGGGGGUCGUUGCGUGCGCUCGUGCGCGUGCCCGCGAGGACUGGGUGCCCCUGAGUCCGUUAGCUGUGGAGGUGCCGCCGUGACCUAGGCCUCGGGCUCGGCUUCCAGCCGCCGCGCGGGUCCGCACCGGGCAGUGGGCCCGCGCCGGGGCGGUUACCAAGCCUUCCGGUGAUGUUCUCCCGCAGGAGACGCAGAACUACGAUUGCACGAGUUCUCUGUCGUGUGUGUGUGUGUUUAUCCAGUCACUCCUGUAUUUGAGAGAGCGAGGGAGACAGACAGGUCCCCCUUCCGCGGGCGCGCUCCCCAGAUGCCCUCAACGGCCAGGUGUGGGCCAGGCCGGAGCCUGGAGCCCGCGCUGCCUCCCAGGGGUGCGCCAGCAGGGAGCCGGUCUGGGUGGCCUCGGGCUGCGGGAUGCGGUGUCCCGGCACCGUGCUGACCGCUGCUGACCUUUCUGAGCCAGAGGGGUCUUCAAGGGACCUCCCCCGCGGAGACUGCGCCUCCUGCCAGGCUGGGAGCUUGGGGAAGCAGCGCCCGGCUCCCUUUCUCUCCCGUUGGUUCUGGAUGUGAGGCUGUGCUGGGAAUGGCCGUGCGCACGAUCAGAGCUCAAGACCGUGCAGCUGGCUAGGUCAGGGACGCUCACGUGAUGGACUGGUGGGCGGUGAAUAGGGUUAGUCCUGAGAAGGGGUACCCGUGUGAGCCCGAGAUGUGCACAGUUACGGGCAGUGGUAGUCAAGAAGUGUUUAAGUUCUUUAGGAAUCCCAUCUAAUAUGAGAUUUUUCUAAGAUAUUUUGCAAGGUUCUUGUGGGCAAUAUUUUGGUUAUUUAGUGAAGGAGAACAGGGGUUUGGCAAGUUUGUGAGCAUCUUUUCCGUAGGCAAGAUUCCGUCCACUUUGCAUUCAUUCUCUUAGUCUAUAACCACCACUUAGCCAGAGUUAUGUCUUCCAGAGAAGACUCUUGUUAGUGAAUGAGCCUAAUUAUAUUGAUAAAGUACAGUUAAUGGAUGUGCAUAUGAAAUUUCUGAAGGCAGAGUUAAUACAGACUUGUGAAAAAAAUGAGUAACCUGAAGAUAGAAUAGUUAUUUAGGGAUGCAUUCUCUCCCUCUUUCUUGCUAGCUUGUGACUAGGGUUCUGUUUUGUGUCUAGAAUAGAUUCACGCUAACCACUUAUGUUAGGAAGCAAAAGACUCUUAAUUCUUAGUUUAAAAAGGAGGCUGUGGACUUCAUACCCUGCGCAUGCGUGCUCCAGGAAGAGAAGAGCACGCCCUGAGCCUCCUGUAGUCUGAAAAAGACCCUCGAGGCUGGCGUGGCUCAGCAGGCUAGGCCACCACUUGCGAUGCUGACGUCCUGUGUUGGAGUACCUGCUGCACCUGCAAAAGUAGCAGAAGAUGGUCCGAGUGCUUGGGCCCCUGCCAUCUGUAUGGGAGACCCGGAUGGAUGGAAUUCCUGGUUCCUGGCUUUGGUCUGGCUCAGACCUGGCUGUUGCCACCAUUUGAAGAGUGAACCAAUAGGUGGAAGAUCUCUUUCUCUCUCUGCCUCUCCCUCUCCCUCUCUCUGUCCUUCUGACAUUCUGCCUUUCAAAUAAAUAAAUCAUUGAAAAAUUUUGUUAUCUCUUAAGGAUUAUAGCAGUGUUAUGUAAAAGCUGUUAGUGCAGGUAAAAGGACUUCCAAAGACCUGUCGUACAAAUUACUUUCCCAGUGACAAGCUUUGAUAUUUCCAGCCAUCAUAUCAGAGUGGGGCCUCUUUAGUGUGGGAGAAAUUCAAGUGUCAAUUCAAGUGUCAGUCUUUUCUGCUUUUUUUUAAGAAUGAUUUUUUAAAAAAUUAUUUAUUUGAAAGGCAGAGUUAGAGAGAGGCAGAGAGAGAGAAAAAAAAAAGGUCUUCCAUCCACUGGUUCACUCCCCAAAUGGCUGCAAUGGCUGGAGCGGAGCCGAUCCAAAGCCAGGAGCUUCUUUGGGGUCUCUGUGGGUGCAGGGUCCCAAGCACAGGGCCAUCUUCCACUGCUUUCCCAGGCCAUCGCAGAGAGCUGGAUCGGAAGUGGAGCAGCUGGGACUCAAACUGGCACCUUAUACAAGAUGCUGGCACUGCAGGAGGCGACUUUACCCACUACACCACAGUGUCAGCCCUGUAGAAUGAUAUUCUUAAGGCUGCUUUCUAAAUUUUGUGCUUAAAAUUAUAAUAAAGCAUGCCAGAGAGAUGUGUCCACAAAGAAUAGAAACAACGUUCUUCUUUUGUAAAAAUGAAAUAAAGGGCAUGUAAUGUUCUUCAUAUAAUAAAUUCAAUAAUAACAGCUAGCUCAUGUUAUACAAUUCUUCUAUUAAGUGUUUUCUGUGGGUUUUCUUACUCUUCAAGAGAACCAUAUGUAGUGAGUGGUGUUCUUAACCCUGUAUUAGUGAUGAGAAAAUCGAGCCUGAUCGAGUUCUUCUAUUUUCUCUACUUGUCCUGUCUUGGCUGACCUCACCCUCUCCUGGCACCAUGAAAAAAGUUCUGGCUUGGGUGAUAUGGACUGUUUUUCAACAUCCAGAGUGUGAGGGUGGAACGAGGAGAAUCUGUCAAGGAGAGCCAUGGAGCCCAGUGUCAGACGUAGAUCAGCCUCCUCCAGGGGGGCCUGGCCGGAACCCUGCAGGCGUCAGCCUCCUCCAGAGGGGCCUGGCCGGAACCCUGCAGGCGUUUGUGAUUCUGCCUCCAGGAAGAGGUCUGCCCUGCGUGCAGCUGUGAGCAGCUGGGUUCCGUGGGCUUCGACCCCCCCGCCCCCACUCUUCCCAAAUUUUGUCUGCAGGUGGUUGUAGCCUGUAAGGAGGCUGACAGGGAGGGACAAGAAGGUUUAUUGGCUUCCGUCAUCUGUGGACAUCGAAGCCUCCUUUUCUUCCAGCUUGGGUUUCCCAGAGUCUGAUAGAACUCCAACAGAGACGGAUUGGUUCUCACGUUCCUAAAGGCAUGGCUCACGUUCCCACCGGCCAGGCCUCAUCUCCUCCCUUCCAAGGGCUUGUUCACCUGCUGCUGCACCUGCUGCUGCUGUGACAGUUUUACACUGAACUCAGAUCUGCUCCCAGAUGCUUCAACACACACAUGGUUUGUGCCCGGGAUAUGAGGCCUGAUGUGCAGCCAAGUGUGAAAUGUCUUUCACACACACGUCACAGGGUGACGACCUGAAAGCAGAGAAAUGCCGGCCAAGUUCACGUAAACUCUGAUAACAGCAAACGGCCCCAUCGCAUGUGCCCACCUGACCCAGGGAUGACUUCACGGGAUUGUUGGAAACAUACGAAACCUUGGGUAAUGGUAAGGAGUGGUCCACACGGCAGUGCUGGCCUGGUCGGAUCACAAACUGGGAAAGCCCAAGAACACAAGGAUGGGGUUCAGUGCUGGGUGGUGAGACAGGAUCUCCAGCUCAUGUCCCUACCGAGACCUUUAAGCGGGGACUUGCCUACAGCAGGAGUGUCCAGACCCAUGAAAAUCUUGUUGUAGCCGAGCUCUAUACCAGAACUUCUAGGCAACGUGUGCGUCUGAUGACACCUGCAGCGUAGGCCGCCGUGGGCAAGUGCCACAACAGAAGCUGUGGAGUCGGCCUGAGGCCACGAGGGUGGAGCACGGGCAGAGAUGACCAUGGGCAAGGCGUCACGGUGAGAGGGGCACACUUGGCGUUCUCUGGGUGGUCCUGAGCCGGAAGCUGGCCGUUAUGAAUCACAAGACUCCCACCUUUGUCGGGACAGAAAAUGCAGCGACUAUCUCAGGCGACGACUACAACUUUCACACGGUCACACACCCUUGCACCAUUGGGCUCUUUUGUUUUAUUUUAUUUCAUCUUCUUCAAAAAUCAAUCCAAUUUGUUUUUAAUUUCUAAUUGACAACAUCACGUGAAGGGAUCAUGUACAACAUGGUUUUGCAAUACGUGCGGGUUGUGGAAUGGCUAAAGCGAUCUAGUUCAUAUACGUCUUAUCUCACAGUUACGGUCUUUGUGGUCAGAACACCUACAACCUACUUUCUUGACAUGCUCCAAGAACACAGUGUGCUGUUGUUAUCUAUCGAAAACAGAGUUCUUCAAGUCCUUCACCUGCCUAACUGAAAUUCUGGAGACUUUGAUCAGCACUUCCUCUCUCCGCCCGCUUCCCACCGCGGCCCCUGCACCUGCCCGGCCACCAGCACCCUGCCCCUGCCCGGCCAGCGUUUGCAGAUUCCACCUGUUGUGGACGACAGCCCUUUAUCAAAUGUCUUUUGCAAAUAUUUCUUUAUGCUCUGAGGCUUGACUUCUUAUCCUGUUGACGGUGUCUUUGGCAAAGUGGAAGUUUUUCAUUUUAAUGGAGUCCAAUUUAGUAAUCGUUUCUUUCUUGGAUCAUGCCCUUUGUGUUACUGGUAAAAAGUCCUAACCAAACCCAAGGCCAUCUAGAUUUUUUCCUGAGCUAUCUUCUGGGAGUUUUGUAGAUUUGCAUUUUACAUUUAGGUUUAUAAUGCACUGAGAUAGUAUUUUUUAAAAGAUUUACUUAUUUAUUUGAGAGGCAGAGUUACAGACAGAGAGAGGGAGAAAGAGAAAGAGUGCGCACAAGCGAUCUUCCAUCCACUGGUUCACUCCCCAAAUGGCUGAAAUAGCUGAAGAUGGGCUGACCUGAAGCCAGGAGCCAGGCGCUUCUUCUGGCUCUCCCAUGUGGGUGCAGGGGCCCAAGCACUCGGGCCAUCCUGUGCUGCUUUCCCAAGUCAUUAACAGGGAGCUGGAUGGGAAGAGGAGCAGCCAGGACACAAACCCGUGCCUAUACGGUAUGCUGGUGCUGCAGGCGGGUGGAGGCUUAACCUACUAAGCCACAGCGCCAGGCCCUCAGCUAAUUUUUGUGAAGAGUGUAAGGUCUGUGUCCAGAGUAUUUUGGUAUUUUUUGUCCAGUAACUCCAUCAUUUCUUGAAAAGAUGCUGCUUUUUCCAUCAACCUGCCUUUGCUCAUUUGUCAAAAAUUAGUUGACUGCGGACGCAUCCAUGAAGGAUCAGAGUGUUCUUGUCACUGGGUACAGGGCCGUCUAAGGAUGGCAGAUUCUCACCAUGCACAGUUUCACUCUCCCUGAUUCUAGCCACUCUUAGAAAACACUCUGCUAUGUUCUGUUUCAAGGCUAAGUCCUUGGCUUCCCCUCUCCCCCAUGCAAGCAGCCGGGGCCGAGCAAGCCAGUCAGAGAGAGGCUCAUCUCUGCACCUGCAGCCUCUCCCGAGGGCCCAGCUGCAAUGCCGUGGCAAGCUUGGCGCCUGGCUGAGCAGUCUGGGACUGUAUCAGAGCCACCCGCAGAUGCGCUGUCCUGCCACAUCUUCCGGGAAACCAGCCCCCUUCUCUGCACCGCUAACCCAGACGUCCUCAGCAAGCAGGCGGUCGGUCCUGCUUCAGGCUGCUGAUCUGCUGUGGUCCUCGUCUAUUAACAGAUUAAACUGCCUCGCUCCUUCACCCCCAGACCUUGCCCUCGUUAUAUUUUUUUCAGAUUUAUUUAUUUUUAUUUGAAAAUCAGUUACAGAGAGGCAGAGGGGGAGGGGUGAUUUUCCAUUCACUGGUUCACUCCCCAAAUGGCCAGGUCAUCACCACCAUGCGCUCUUGAGUUUGUCCUUGAGUUAGGGGAGGAAGAGAAGUGGCAGAGUUAAGGUUUUGAACCACAGUGGAAAAUAAUGUGAGGACGAGGAAGCAGAGGACUCCCAGGAGAGGCAAGGUGAGAGGACGAGAAGUAGCGUUUCUCGCAGGAGAGGGGUUUAGACAGCGCGGGGGGACGACCUUGAACCCAGCCUGCCGCUGCCUCCACAGCUCUCCAGCAAGGAACUUCAGGGUCAGCCUCCGGAGUGGGACUGGGACGGCCGCGGGCACUCUGGCUCCACUGUGUUUCUGAGACCGGAAGUCUGAAGGUGUCUCCGCUCGUGAAGGGAUGGGGCAGGAAAAGGAAGAGUUUGCGAGCCCCAGGAUAAGGGUGGAGCCAAAGGCAUCCCGGAAAUGAAUUCCACCGCAGGGGAAGUGAAGGAGUAACCUCUGCUGAGUCAGCCCGUCCGGUGCUUCCUGCUGCAGUUGAGAAACGACCCACCAUCCUGCCUGUCGUGAGCCGCUCCGACGCCUUUGAGAAAGAUGGGAAAAUACUCCUCAUCUCCAGGGACUGGGGAUUGAUGCAGCAAUGGAUCGGUACAAAUAAACCUACUAAAGCAAUGUGUGUGUGUCGGGGACAGGAGGCAGAAGCUGGCCAAGAUGCCUGGAGCCCUUGGUGGAGUGCCUGGGCGCCACGCCCUCCUCUGACUCCUGUGGCUCCAGCUUCCCAUCAACGCAGAACUGGAAGGCAGCAGAGAAGGCUCAAGUGGCGGUGUUCCUGCCACCCGUGUGAGAGGCCUGAAUUGAAUUCCUGGCUCCCAGCUUCAGCCCCAGACUAGCCGCAGCCAUUGUCAGCAUCUGAGAAGUGAAUCAGCAGAUGGGUGGUAUCUGUCCAUCUAUCCAUCAUCUACCAAUCUAUCCAUCUAUCUACCUAUCCAUCUAUCUACCUAUCCAUCCAUCUAUCUACCUAUCAUCUAUCCAAGGCCCCUUUUGUCGGAGACCACACAUUGCCUCCAGUUUUGAAGAGCGUUGUGCCGGUUGAGGGAGAAGCAUCUUUGAAAUCACUGCUUCCCAAAUGCGUCCUGUGCCCAUCUCCCUUGACCCCAAAGUGUGUCAGGAAUGGGAACAAAUCUGUCCCAAGCAUGAGGACUUUCAGUGACCUGGGGAGCCGUGAGAGGCCAGGGAAGCUUGGGUGACUUCCCAGAGCCGUCAGAGAGAGCACGGAUGGGUGGGUGAGGGAAGCGGCUGGGGCUUCGCAGGUUAGUCCUUUGCCCGAGUGUUAAUACCUAAACUGGAAAUGAAAUCCCCGCCCUGUAGACUGAAAGACAGGGAAGCAUAACCAAGAAAAGCUAUGUUGGGUAUUGCGGGGUUUGAGAUGCAUGAAAAGGGUUUUGAAAGGAUGAAUUGUAUGGUGAAUGACCUAACCCCCCAUGGUGAUCGUUUGUGUACCCCGUAGAAUAUAGUGGGUAGCGGGAGGUGAAUCCCGGAGUUGGGGAAGCAGGCACAGGUCCCUCAGGGGAAGUCAUUGGUGCUCCUGUAGUUAUUGUUUUUAAUUCCUUCCAAGCCAGACACAUGAGACCAGACCUCAUCCCACUCCCUGGGAUGCCCACAUGCCGUGUCAUAAUGCCUGGUUCAAGUGCUGGCUACUCCACUUCUGAUUUAGCUCCCUACUGAUGCACCUGGAUGCAGCAGAUCAUGUGGGAGACCUGGCUGGAGUCCCAAGAUCCUAGCUUCAGACUGGCCCAGACCCAGCUGUUGUGGGCCUUUAGGGAGGGAACCAGUGGAUAGAAGAUCUCUCUCUCCCUUUCAAAUAAAAUAAAUCAUUUUUUUUAAAGUGGACAUUCUUUGGGGAUGAUGCUGUGGAAGAUGGCUCAAGUCCUUGGGCCCCUGCACCCAGGUGGGAGACCAGGAAGAAGCUCCUGGCUCCUGGCUUUGGACUGGCCCAGCCCCAGCCUUCACGGCCAUUUGAGGAUUGAACCAGUAGAUGAAGACCUCUCUCUCUCUGUUUCUCUGUCUCUCUCUCUCUCCCUAUUUCUGUAACUCCGCCUUUCAAAUAAUUACGUAAAUCUUAAACUAACUAAACAGAUGUUGUCACCUUCAGAGCCGUCACUGUUAAAGCUGUCUGUUCCAUUCUGGCUGAUGCCUCAAUUUUUGGUUUCAAGGUGAGGGGACACAGCUCAGUCCCAGUUGCCAUCCAUAGAUCGGAUUAUUUUUGCACAUCCAUGGCACAGCUGGUCAGUCACUAUCUAGCCGAAACCAGCUCAGGCCAGCUUGGUGGUGAAACCUCUGAAAACAACUUAAACAGUGGUUUACAGGUGGGCAUUUUGCAUAGCAAUCAAGACACCCAGCUCCACUUCUGAUUCCAGCCAAUUCCAACUUCCCGCUAAUGAACUCUGUGAGACAGCAGGGCCUGGUGAGCAGCUGGGUCUGUUCCACCCCCUUGAACGACCCAGGUCAGUUUCAGGCUCCUGGCUUGGCCCAGCCCUUGCUGUUGCCGGCAUCUGGGGGGUAAGCCAGCCAACACAUGGAAGAUUUCGCUUUCUGUCUAUCCCGGUCUCUCUGUCUUUCAAAAUAAAAUGAAAAUAAAUUAAAAAAAAUUAAUGUGAGAUUUUAUUUAAAAAGACAAUUGCAGGGGCUGGUGCUGUGGCACAGCAGGUAAACCGCUGCCUGCAGUGCUGGCAUUCCAUAUGGGUGCUGGUUCAUGGCCCCGGCUGCUCCUCUUCCGAUCUAGCUCUCUGC